rnacentral:misc_RNA from 1 species
GCGUAACCUUGGUGUACGUAGUUUUGAUUUGCGUAGUAGCCGCUGGAAUUUGCGAAGCCGUGGACUGGAUAGCUCGGCUGAGCUUCCAUGGCGUAACCAUACUGUGAUUGAGAAUAAACUGGAGCGUCGUAGUAGAAUGUCGAAGGCGGAUAUGAGAAGCCGCUGUACUCCAUCUUGCUCACCUCCAUUUUUGCGGCACCGCCGUCUCCACUGCUGGAGGCGGCAGCUUUUCCGUCGUUCUCUUUCUUGUCGCCGCCACCUCCUACGGCUUCUUUUUCUUUCUUGUCGCCUCCGGCAGCGGCGGG